rnacentral:rRNA from 1 species
GACGAACGCUGGCGGCGUGCUUAACACAUGCAAGUCGAACGGAAAGGCCCUGCUUUUGUGGGGUGCUCGAGUGGCGAACGGGUGAGUAACACGUGAGUAACCUUCCCUUGACUUUGGGAUAACUUCAGGAAACUGGGGCUAAUACCGGAUAGGAGCUCCUGCUGCAUGGUGGGGUUUGGAAAGUUUCGGCGGUUGGGGAUGGACUCGCGGGUUAUCAGCUGGUUGGUGGGGUAGUGGCUUACCAAGGCUUUGACGGGUAGCCGGCCUGAGAGGGUGAACGGCCACAUUGGGACUGAGAUACGGCCCAGACGCCUACGGGAGGCAGCAGUGGGGAAUAUUGCACAAUGGGCGGAAGCCUGAUGCAGAAACGCCGCGUGCGGGAUGACGGCCUUCGGGUUGUAAACCGCUUUCGCCUGUGACGAAGCGUGAGUGACGGUAAUGGGUAAAGAAGCACCGGCUAACUACGUG